rnacentral:lncRNA from 1 species
UUUAAAAAAAAAAAAAGAAAGAAAGAAAAGAAAAAGAAAAGACAAGAAAAGAAAAGAAAAGGAUAUAAUCAGCCAAAUUCAAAAUGUGUGAAAUGCUACAAGCUUCCAGGACUGUGAAACAAGACAUUUCUUUGGUUCAAGCCACUCCCUUAGUGCACAUUGUUAUGGCAGCCAUGGAAAACCAUCCACAGAGGGUCAGUUCCUAUGGAGGUGGGGUGAGUGACGAGAUGUUCCUGACUGGGCUGACAACGGAGGACGAGAGAGCUUGGGUGUGGAUGGGAAAAUAACUAGAAACUUCCCUUGAUCUCUCAGCAUUCUGUUCCAUCCCUGUCACUUCGAUGUCUCUCUUUCUUGAAUAUGGAAGCAGCCCUGGGCCCAGCUGCUGCAGGUGGCCAGGAAGGAGCCUGGGAGGAUGACGGGGUUCCUGAUCUGAUAGAACUGGGCUGUGACUAGGCAGAACCCUGUUCCACCACACACACCCCAGUGGAGGACGUUCUGUAUCUGUGAUGAAUGACCCCUGCAUACAUUAUAUCUUUCAGUAAAAACAGUGGUGUUUCAGUAGUGUUACUAGCUAAGCUGCUUAACUCUCACAUUACAGACGUCAGUGAAGCCCCUUGGUAGGUAGUGUCUAAAAUUAGAUUUAUCUGCUUAUUUACACAAUUAUACUCUCAUGAGUUUGAAUGUUGGGGAAAGAUCAAGAAAAAGACCAGAUCACUAGAUGGCAAUAGCACACAAGAGCUUUAUUUGGAUGAAGCUUGGACAGAAUGCAUGGAAGGGGAAAGUCCCUUGCAGCAGAAGACCUUCCAGAGGCAGUGGCAGGGCCACCACCAGAAGAAAAGGGCAAGGACACUCCCAGGGGAGAGGAGGAUCAGAGAGGAGGUUACAGGUCUAAGAGAUGUCACAGGUCUAGAAGAAAAGAAAAGGAGCCAGGUGCAGUGGCUCACACCUGUAAUCCCAGCACUUUGGGAGGCCCAGGCGGGCAG